rnacentral:rRNA from 1 species
UACGAAGGGGGCUAGCGUUGUUCGGAAUUACUGGGCGUAAAGCGUAUGUAGGCGGAUCGUUAAGUCGGGGGUGAAAUCCCGAGGCUCAACCUCGGAACUGCCUUCGAUACUGGCGAUCUUCGAGUCCGGAAGAGGAGAAUGGAAUUCCCGGUGUAGCGGUGAAAUGCGCAGAUAUCGGGAAGAACACCCGUGGCGAAGGCGGUUCUCUGGGACGGUACUGACGCUGAGACGCGAAAGCGUGGGGAGCGAACAGG